AGCGAACGCUGGCGGCAGGCCUAACACAUGCAAGUCGAACGAACUCUUCGGAGUUAGUGGCGGACGGGUGAGUAACACGUGGGAACGUGCCUUUUGGUUCGGAAUAACUCAGGGAAACUUGUGCUAAUACCGAAUGUGCCCUUCGGGGGAAAGAUUUAUCGCCAUUAGAGCGGCCCGCGUCUGAUUAGCUAGUUGGUGAGGUAACGGCUCACCAAGGCGACGAUCAGUAGCUGGUCUGAGAGGAUGACCAGCCACACUGGGACUGAGACACGGCCCAGACUCCUACGGGAGGCAGCAGUGGGGAAUCUUGCGCAAUGGGCGAAAGCCUGACGCAGUCAUGCCGCGUGAAUGAUGAAGGUCUUAGGAUUGUAAAAUUCUUUCACCGGGGACGAUAAUGACGGUACCCGGAGAAGAAGCCCCGGCUAACUUCGUG
rnacentral:rRNA from 1 species